rnacentral:misc_RNA from 1 species
UUGCAGAAUAUGUAUUAGGCAUAAGUAGAAAUUCUAUGGGAUAAAAAUAUGGCCAUUAAUGCUUUCAGACAACAAAUGCUAAGAUGAAUGUGCAAUAACAUAAAAUGAUAAAAUUCAGAAUAAACAAAUUUAAGAGGGGUGGAAGAAGUCUCAAUUGAGAAAAAAAAUUUUGUGAAAAUAAUGAAAGAUGGUUAUGGCUGUUACGCCACAUGCAAGAUGUAUCUUUAUGUCAUGAGCAAAAGUUAC